CCCCUGAGGUAUGGUCAAAUUACAAAAACCCCCCUCUUGUUUGGAUAAUUACAUCUACCCCCUCAACUAUGAUUUUUUCUUACACCUCCACCCUUAUGGUGCCAAAUUCAACAUAAUCAUCUAGAUUCCGUGAAAUUUGCUCUAGUUUGUACUCGUUUUGUGUAAAAAUACAGUUUCCGAUGCACCAAAAACUGAUAUAUACAAGCUAAAAAUCACAUAUUAUGAUCAUCUUGCUUCAUAAUGUAGAGUUUGAAUGAGAUAAAACGGGUACAAAAGUGAUAAUAUUCCAUAUAAUCUCGAAGAUUUCACUAAAUUUGAGGAGUUGAGGGGUGGUUGUAAUUAUCCAAACAAGAGGGGUGUUUUUGUAAUUUGAC
rnacentral:lncRNA from 1 species